GGGCGUGUAGCUCAGUGGUAGAGCAGUCGACCGAUAAUCGACAGGUCGCAGGUUCAAGUCCUGCCACGCCCACCA
rnacentral:tRNA from 1 species